GAGUUAAAAAUAUGAGGAGAGUGAUUGGGAGGUGCAGGACCUCAGGCAGCUGGGUGAGGCGGGGUGGGGGGGCGGUGGCUCAGGUAGGGCGAGUCUGGGAGGGGGCAGGAGGGAAGGAUGCAGAGACCAACUGAGGGAGGCUGAGGAACAGAGAGAGACAGCCACAUGCAGGGACACAGGUAGAUGGAGAGAGGGGCAAGGGAACAGAGAGAGAGGGAAGGGCAGAGAGAGAGAGGACGGGACACAGAGGGUGAGAGGCAGCACACACACAGAGACAGACAUCCAUAGGAGGUACAGAAAGGGUGGAGAGUGGGAGAGGCUGAGAGAAAGAUGUGGGAGAUUGAGUGUGCUCUUGGCAAAGGUCUACAAUAAUUGGAGUGGGUUCAACGGUCAAGGCCAUGCUGUGGGGAAGAACAGGAACAGGGUCAAUUACAUCCUGCGGAUCCCUCAACACACCACCCCAUGGCAGCAAUUAGACACGAGGGAAACUGGAUUUAAUGUGAAUUUUGAAGGCAGCCAUGGGAAUGACAAGUAGAACACAUUGUCUUCAAUGUGGCCAGUGGCCCGCCAGGCAACCCAACCUGGCGCCUUCGUCUAUGAUGAAGGCUACAAAGCGUGAUUCCUUGGUCCCAGCCCCUGCUUGCCAGGUGGUCUCUCUGCGUGUCUCUGUCUUCAUGUGGUGCUUUCUUCUUCUUACAAGGACAUCAGCCAUGCUGGAUUAGUUCCCACUACUACUCUCUGGGACCCCCAAAUCAGCCAUUCUCCAUCAGGACCUGUGAAAAGAAGCCUCAAGCUCAAGUAAAGACCACCUCAAAGUCACAGCAACCUUUUUGAACCUAACUCUUCACCAUCUUGUCUAGUGGGCAGGGGAAUCAGUUGUCAGCAUUACAUACCUACCACAGCUGCAUACCAGAGUGAACCUAGGAAACGUUCCCACAGCGGCCAGAAUAUAAUGAUCCGAAGUAUCAAAUUCUACAUCUUUCCAAAAAAAAAAAAAAAAAAAAAAGGUCUGUGGUGCACGUGGGGGUAGACUUUGAGAGCUUUUCCAGCAGCAGAGGCGUUUCUGGAACAGCCCUUCUUUGAUCUGCCUCCCUAUCAAAGGCACCGUUCCUUUGAGGCGGGAGAAAAAACUGAUACCUGCAGGCCAGCCUGGGGGAGCCGCACCUGACUUCAGGCUCCCAUGUGAAGCCGUCUGUUCUUUAUUUUCACUCCGUAUGAAGCUAAUGGAAUUUGCAGUUGAUUAACCUCAAAUCUGGAGAAGUGAUCCAGUCUGGGAUUGCAGCUGGCAGGGCUAGGGCUACUUGUACUUCUUAACUGAGUCAGACAGCAACAAGUGUUUUUCCUCAAAAAGUAAAGGCCCAGAGAAAUGGGCAUGAGAGGGAGAGUCCCACAGCUCCAAGGACAGCCAGCAGGCAUGGAGGCAGACUGUCUAGCGUCUGAGCUGCAAAAAUAAGAUGAUGGUGUCUAGCUGACAAAUUAAACCAGGAACCUGAGAUCCUCUAAAAAAAAAUUCACAAAUAAAUACAUGGAGGCUCUGCUCUGUGGAAAGUCAGCAGUGUUGUGGUUAAAGCACGGAUGUUGGAGACAAGGACUCCCUGGCUUUGAAAUCUGGCUCGCCUACCUAUUGCUGUGUGACUCUGAACAAAAUACGGAACUUCUCUGUGCUGCACUCUCCUCAUCUGUCAAUUGGAAGUAAUCAAGGAAUUUUAAUGAGCACUAAAUGAAUUAAUGAUGGUAAAGUGCUUAAGAAUAGUGCCCAUCAUAAGCUUAUAGAUAUUUCCUUAAAAAAUACAUGGAUUUGUUUUUAGGAAAAUAUGCGAAUAUACAUUUUUCUUUUAAAGUCAUUACUCUUACUCAUAAUGCAUAAAGAAAAAGUAGAAAAUUCUUCAUCAGCUUCUAAAAGAUAAUAGUACAGGUAUACUAAUAUUGUGUUUGGAUACAUUUUUUACGAAACUAACUCUCACAUUAAAAUUGAUUGAAUAAGCAAGUAAAAGACAUUGGGUUGUUUCUUAUUGUUCCGCAUCAGACAGCAAAGGUUGCUGCUGAAUUUUCUGAGGGGAAGCUUCCACAUAUGGUAUAUUUAGUGCAUGAAAUGUGGCAUUUGGAUUCCUGUGUUUUUUUUUAAAUUGUCAUAUAAACAAAUAAUUCCAAACAUAUUUCUUCUUCAUGGAUUUGUUUCUAUUUUGCAAAUUGUUUCAGGCAUCAAUAAACAGGAUUACACAAAUGUGCAUACAACUGCAAAACUCAUUUAGUUUAGCAAGUGCUUCUCACAUAUUCAUUUACUCAACAAUGCUACUUUCAAGUCAUGUCAACAUUACUCCAUUUCUGCCUCAUGACUAAUACAGUGUUACUUAAACCCAUUUCACAUCUUACAUCCAAGGAAUACCACCAACCUUUUUGGUUUGUACCACCUGGUUUCUAAUUAAAAUUAAAUUGAGAAAGAAGCCUUCUGCAGAAGUGUAGAUUCUUCCAUAGCACACUUAUGGGGCCGGCGUCCUCAGCAAGGAUUUAAAAUAUAAGACCACUAAUGUGAAAGCUCAUUAUAGGAAAAAAGCAAAAAGUGAAAAGCACAUUAGACCAAUUAAGAGGCUGUGAGUGAGAGGCAUAUGGGUAUCCAAGAGUGUGAUGCUUUCAUUGUCCGUUCUUUCUAUCAAGGAGAGUGAAAAGAAUUUUUCACUUGUAACAUAAUACUGUGCCAAUUUCAAAAAUAGGUCCAUAAUAUAUGUGGAUGAUAGAACAGGGGGAAACACAAACUGAAGCCCCUCACCCUUAGCAUAAUAAUAAGAGAAUCUACUAUUUUGUGUGUGGCGUCAGAGAUUUCCAAACGCUCAACCACUCUAACCACCGUAAACAGGGAAACAAUACCCGUUAUUCACUCAAUUUUCUUGAGCUAAAAAAGGCAAAUGAUAACAACAUAUGCUCCAAAUGUGACCCAUGCAGUUUAGCUUAAAGGCAAAAUAAGAUAAAAGUCAGCAUUGCACACAGAGUUUAAACAGAAACAUACGUAUCUAUACACUUUCUUUCCCUCUCCAUAUGUUACCCUGUGGUGGGAAUUAUAAUACUGUGCAUCACACCUUUCACUCAAGGAUCUCAAGCCCCUCUCAGAAAUGAACACAAACCCGUAAACCAGCUCUGAGAAGCAGGUGGUGAGUAUUAUUAUUACCAUUUUACAAAUGGAGACAGUUAGUGUUCCCAACUUCUAGUUGAUUGAACUCAAGGCACUGCCACUCUUUAUUUGGGGAGGGGAGAGUGUUCCUUCUCUUCUCUCCCCCUCUCUCUCUCUCUCCCUCUGUCUUUAAUUUCAGUGACAACACAAAUGCAUGGUAGCACUUAAAGGUGGCCUUAUUCAAUGAUAGUGUGUAAAAGAGUUUGCUUCCCUUCCAUUUACUUUCCUUCAUCCCUGAAACUGCCAAAUACAACUCUUGAUUCUAAGAAUGAUCUCAAACCUUCUUCCAUGUUUCUCUUUUGGAUAGAGCUUGGAACACUAACAAGUGAAAGUCACAAUCCAGGAAAGUGAGUUCCUGAAUUUGAUGUUUUCAUUACCAAGAGUAAAAUGUGGGCAGCUUAGAACUGAAACUGACAAGUAGCACCCUCUGUGAUGCAAACUUUUGUGCUGCAGCUGGGGAAGUUGACUUAGACAGCUUUCCAAAGCAGCCUAAACUCUAAAUCCAACAAAGAGGGGUAUGUUUCAUAGCAGUGUUACUCAGGACAGAGCUUCAGUUGAGGUUCUCAGUUACUAAAUUUUAACCCAAGCACAACUGCUUAGGAACCUGAGGUCCAAGUGAGCACACAGAGGAUGGUUUUGAGAGCAGGCUUCCCAGGGAAAACCAACCUCUGAAGUCAGCAAGUUGGAGCUUAUGAAUUAUGAGCUUCCUACCAGUUUCAUGUCCUCUGAAGUUGGGCUUCAAUGUGCUAUAAAACUGGUCUUGUGUAGAUGACAUGCUUUCUGAAUUUGACACAAUCGAUUAUUGGGAAAAAGAGUUUUUAAAAAUUAUGAAAGUCAGUUUGCUUUUCAGGUCCAUGUAUCUACUUGAGAAGAGCUCACUUUGCUGAUACCACGUUCAUAAAAAUUUGUGUUUAUGGGAAAGACUAUUAUACUCCUCAUGAGAUCCAGCACAGAGUGAAAUACAUAGAGAUGCGGGCUUGAGAAGUCCUAGAUUUUUUAUUUUUAGGAGGAUCAUAUAUAGCCAUAAGAGGGAAAAAAACAUAAAUCAGAGAUCCCUCUUCCUCCAUUCCCCUGCUUAAAACAAAAAAACAUAAAACUACAAAGGAACA
rnacentral:lncRNA from 1 species